rnacentral:rRNA from 1 species
GGAUAACCUACCCUUAGGACUGGGAUAACCCUGGGAAACUGGGGAUAAUACUAGAUAGGCAAUUUUUCCUGGAAUGGUUUUUUGUUUAAAUGUUUUUUCGCCUAAGGAUGGGUCUGCGGCCGAUUAGGUAGUUGGUUAGGUAACGGCUUACCAAGCCAUUGAUCGGUACGGGUUGUGAGAGCAAGAGCCCGGAGAUGGAACCUGAGACAAGGUUCCAGGCCCUACGGGGUGCAGCAGGCGCGAAACCUCCGCAAUGUGAGAAAUCGCGACGGGGGGAUCCCAAGUGCCAUUCUUAACGGGAUGGCUUUUCAUUAGUGUAAAGAGCUUUUGGAAUAAGGGCUGGGCAAGACCGGUGCCAGCCGCCGCGGUAACACCGGCAGCUCUAGUGGUAGCAGUUUUUAUUGGGCCUAAAGCGUCCGUAGCCGGUUUAAUAAGUCUCUGGUGAAAUCCUGUAGCUUAACUGUGGGAAUUGCUGGAGAUACUAUUAGACUUGAGACCGGGAGAGGUUAGAGGUACUCCCAGGGUAGAGGUGAAAUUCUGUAAUCCUGGGAGGACCGCCUGUUGCGAAGGCGUCUAACUGGAACGGUUCUGACGGUGAGGGACGAAAGUUAGGGGCGCGAACCGGAUUAGAUACCCGGGUAGUCCUAACUGUAAACGAUGCGGACUUGGUGUUGGGGUGGCUUUGAGCUGCUCCAGUGCCGAAGGGAAGCUGUUAAGUCCGCCGCCUGGGAAG